rnacentral:rRNA from 1 species
UCAAGAUACUAAGGGCAAAUGGUGGAUGCCUUGGCAUAUAGAGGCGAUGAAGGACGUGGUAAGNUGCGUUAAGCCUCGGUGAGGUGCAAACAACCUAUGACCCGGGGAUAUCCGAAUGGGGCAACCCUUCCGCUUUAAUAGGCGGAAACUCCCGACUGAAUCCAUAGGUCGGGUAGAGCGAACGAGGGGAAUUGAAACAUCUCAGUACCCUCAGGAAAAGAAAACAACCGUGAUUCCCCUAGUAGCGGCGAGCGAACGGGGAAGAGCCUAAACCUGCGCUAUGUUCAAGCCUGCCGGCGUUGUAGUGCAGGGGUUGCGGGGCGCUUUCUGAGCGAGCGGCAGCUUGCUCGACAAGUCAAAAAAUUGCCAAUUACUUGAACUGUUCUGGAAAGACAGACCGUAGAGGGUGAUAGUCCCGUAAGGGAAAAUUGGCAAUCUUGUUGGAGAGCGUACCCAAGUACCAUGGAGCACGUGAAACUCUGUGGGAAUCAACCAGGACCAUCUGGAAAGGCUAAAUACUCCUAUAUGACCGAUAGCGAACUAGUACCGUGAGGGAAAGGUGAAAAGUACUCCUGACGGAGAGUGAAAUAGAACCUGAAACCAUUUGCUUACAAUCUGUCGGAGUCCGCCUUCGGGCGGAUGACGGCGUGCCUUUUGCAUAAUGAGCCAGCGAGUUGCUCGUAGGUUGCAAGGUUAAGUCUGACAAAGACGGAGCCGGAGCGAAAGCGAGUCUGAAUAGGGCGCUUAGUAACCUGCGGCAGACCCGAAGCGGGGUGAUCUAUCCAUGGCCAGGAUGAAGUUCCGGUAACACGGAAUGGAGGUCCGAACCCACCAGCGUUGAAAAACUGGGGGAUGAGCUGUGGAUAGGGGUGAAAGGCCAAUCAAACUCCGUGAUAGCUGGUUCUCCCCGAAAGAUUUUUAGGAAUCGCCUUGCAUGAAGUGUAACGGAGGUAGAGCUCUGAAUGGGCUAGGGGCCUUACCAGGCUACCAAACCCAACCAAACUCCAAAUGCCGUCUACAUGUUGUGCAGGAGUUAGGCUACGGGGGAUAAGCUUCGUGGCCGAGAGGGAAAUAACCCAGACCGAUAGCUAAGGUCCCCAAAUACAGGGUAAGUGAUAAAGGAUGUGAAAACGCCCAGACAGCUAGGAUGUUGGCUUAGAAGCAGCCAUCAUUUAAAGAGUGCGUAAUUGCUCACUAGUCAAGUGUUUUCGCGCCGAUAAUUAGCGGGACUAAUAACCCUGUUACCGAAGCUUCGGAUUCUCCGACCUGUCGGAGAAUGGUAGGGGAGCGUUCCAUUAACCUGCGAAGGUCAAUCGUGAGGUUGGCUGGAGGAAAUGGAAAUGAGUAUGCUGGCAUUAGUAGCGAUAAUUCCGGUGAGAGUCCGGAACACCGAAAGCCUAAGGUUUCCUGAGUAAAGUAACUCUGCUCAGGGUUAGUCGGACCCUAAGUCGAGGCCGAGAGGCGUAGACGAUGGAUGACAGGUUGAAUAUUCCUGUACCAUCUUUCUACCGUUUGAGCUAAGGGGGGACGCAGGAGUGAAAGGUCAGCCGGGUGGUGAAUGUCCCGGUUUAAGCAGGUAGAGGGAUCGGAUAGGCAAAUCCGUCCGAUCAAUACCUCGAGAUGCGAAUAGGAGUCCUCUGGACACAAACUGACCCUAAACCCACUGCCGAGAAAAGCCUCUACGCAAGGUAGAAGGAUGACCGUACCACAAACCGACACAGGUAGGCUAGGAGAGUAUCCUAAGGUGCGCGAGAUAGCUCUGGUUAAGGAACUAGGCAAAUUUGCCCCGUAACUUCGGAAUAUGGGGUGCCCCAAGUAGGUGAAGCUUACUAUUUCGGUAGACAAGCCGAGCCCAACGGGGUCGCAGUGAAAAGGUCUGGGUGACUGUUUACUAAAAACCCAUGUCUCUGCUAAGUCGUAAGACGACGUAUAGGGACUGACACCUGCCCGGUGCUGGAAGGUUAAGGGGACGAGUCAUUCCCGCUUCGGCGGGAGGCAGCUCUGAACUGAAGCCCCAGUAAACGGCGGCCGUAACUAUAACGGUCCUAAGGUAGCGAAAUUCCUUGUCGGGUAAGUUCCGACCCGCACGAAUGGUGUAACAACUUGGACACUGUCUCGACCAGAGCCUCGGCGAAGUUGUAAUGCCGGUGAAGAUGCCGGCUACCCGCAGCUGGACAGAAAGACCCCGGAACCUUUACUACAACUUGGCAUUGGGUUUUGGGUUUGUAUGUGUAGGAUAGGUGGGAGACGUUGAAGUGUCGACGCUAGUCGGCAUGGAGUCAGCCUUGAAAUACCACCCUUAUAAAUCUAGAAUUCUAAUCCCGACCCCUGAAGCGGGGCGGGAGACAUUGUCAGGUGGGUAGUUUGACUGGGGCGGUCGCCUCCCAAAAGGUAACGGAGGCUCCCAAAGGUUCCCUCAGCACGUUUGGUAAUCGUGCGCAGAGUGUAAAGGCACAAGGGAGCUUAACUGUGAGACAGACAUGUCGAGCAGAUGCGAAAGCAGGGCUUAGUGAUCCGGUGGUAGCACAUGGAAGCGCCAUCGCUCAAAGGAUAAAAGGUACUCUGGGGAUAACAGGCUGAUCUCCUCCAAGAGUUCACAUCGACGAGGAGGUUUGGCACCUCGAUGUCGGCUCGUCACAUCCUGGGGCUGGAGAAGGUCCCAAGGGUUGGGCUGUUCGCCCAUUAAAGUGGCACGUGAGCUGGGUUUAGAACGUCGUGAGACAGUUCGGUCCUUAUCCGCUGUGGGCGCAGGAGAUUUGCGGGGGGCUACUCUUAGUACGAGAGGACCAGAGUGGACGAACCUCUGGUGCACCAGUUGUGCCGUCAGGUGCAUCGCUGGGUAGCUAUGUUCGGUCAGGAUAAACGCUGAAAGCAUCUAAGCGUGAAACCUUCCCCAAGAUGAGAUCUCCCUCCCGUUUCGACGGGACUAAAGGUUACUCGUAGAUUACGAGUUCGAUAGGUCACAGGUGUAAGAUCAGCAAUGGUCUCAGCCGAGUGAUACUAAUCAACCGUGCGUCUUGACCAA